rnacentral:rRNA from 1 species
UACGAAGGGGCUAGCGUUGUUCGGAAUCACUGGGCGUAAAGCGCACGUAGGCGGACUGUUAAGUCAGGGGUGAAAUCCUGGGGCUCCAACCCAGAACUGCCUUUGAUACUGGCGGUCUUGAGUGUGGGAGAGGUUGGUGGAACUCCGAGUGUAGAGGUGAAAUUCGUAGAUAUUCGGAAGAACACCAGUGGCGAAGGCGGCCAACUGGCCCAUUACUGACGCUGAG